UACGAAGGGGGCUAGCGUUGUUCGGAAUUACUGGGCGUAAAGGGCGCGUAGGCGGUGUGUCAAGUCAGGCGUGAAAGCCCCGGGCUCAACCUGGGAACCGCGCUUGAGACUGGCACGCUCGAGUUCGGGAGAGGGAUGGUGGAAUUCCCAGUGUAGAGGUGAAAUUCGUAGAUAUUGGGAAGAACACCGAUGGCGAAGGCAGCCAUCUGGACCGACACUGACGCUGAGGCGGCGAAAAGCGUGGGGAGCAAACAGGG
rnacentral:rRNA from 1 species